GGAAGGUAAAAAUGGAGGAGAGCUGCGAUAACAGUCAGUGGAAGGAUGGAGAAGAACAUGCGUCACCGGCAGAGGAAUGGGCGGGGCUUUCCUGGCCGUGGGCCGCGGAGCCGCACCUGAUCAAAGGGACACAUCUUCUGUCCGGCCGCUGCGGCGGCGGCGAGUGGCGGGAUAAACUGUUGAAGGAUGCUCUGUGUCUACCCAGCAGCAGAAUGCUUUAAUUGCAACGUUUGGGCUUCAAUACCUGCCUUGCCUGCAUAGGAGAUUGAUAACAUGCCUUUUUCUCCGUGGAGGGAACUUACAAUGCUUCAUGCUGUCUGUAAAGUGAGUAAAAUUCAAAUAUGAUGCUGCCUGUCAUCACCGUCCCGCUUACUGCACUAUGUUAAGUCGGCCCUCACUGUCAGUGUCACUGCACCGAGUCACCUGCCGCCAGCCGCAGUUACCUCACUGUCAGUGUCACUGCACCGAGUCACCUGCCGCCAGCCGCAGUUACCUCACUCUGACAGGAUUGCAUGUCAUUUAUCAGGAACUUGUUCUGGAUCUGCAGUUCCGGAAUGGAAAUCCACCCCAGAGGAGCUGAGGUUCUUCUCCUCCACCUGAUGAUACAUAGUGACAGGGCCUGCCAUAGUUAAUGUCACUGCCAGUGUGCGAUUGUCAUGCAGUAGCUGGACGGGGAGGUGACCCGGAAGGCAUCACCCCAGGGAGGGUGUGACAGCAGCCCUGGUAAUAGGAGAGGAAGGGGAAUAGGGCUCUUUAAUGCCCAGUGUAAUGCUGGGAACAGACCACAUUCACAUCCUUCCCGAGUGUCAGGAGAA